UAGCAAAAUGAGUGAGUAGGAGUACUCGUACUGAGUAGUGAGUAAACAGUGGAGUAGAAAUUAGUGAACGAAGUGUGAUUUCAUUGUCAACUGUAUGUUGUUUGUUGUAUAUGUGAGUUGGCAACUCGUGUGCGUGUGUGGCUCAUACCAAGCAGCAUUUCAAAUCAAGGCAUGCAGCUGCCAAGGAAAACCUGUAGGGCCAUCAGCUGCAUUAAAACCAGGCAUGAAAAAUGCAGAGCACCCAUUUAUAAAUGUGAUGUUGUACACAACAUAGACUGGAACUGUAAUGCUACUAGAAUUAAUUAGUAAAUCACAUGUUCAUUGAAUGUGGAAUAAGAAGAUUUUAAGGGAAUUGGAGAUAUGUGUAAAGGCUUUUCCAAAGCCUGAUGUGUUAAGUUUCUUAAUUGCAGCUGAGAUAUUAAUAACAUAUUGAAAUAUUCACUUGCUGUAAUUUUAUACUAUGGUCUUAUUAUUAUUGUGUUAUUGUUUAUAUUUUAUUUUUCCCUAUUGUAUUGAUGUCAUUUUGCUGUAGUUUUUCAUGCAAUACAUUAAUAAAUAAUU